UACGUAGGGCGCAAGCGUUAUCCGGAAUUAUUGGGCGUAAAGAGCUCGUAGGCGGUCUGUUGCGUCGGCUGUGAAAACCCGGGGCUCAACCCCGGGCCUGCAGCCGAUACGGGCAGACUAGAGUUCGGCAGGGGAGACUGGAAUUCCUGGUGUAGCGGUGAAAUGCGUAGAUAUCUGGAGGAAUACCGGUGGCGAAGGCGGCAUCCUGGACCGGCAUUGACGCUGAGGAGCGAAAGCUAGGGGAGCAAACGGG
rnacentral:rRNA from 1 species